rnacentral:rRNA from 1 species
CAAUCAAACUCCGUGAUAGCUGGUUCUCCCCGAAAUGCAUUUAGGUGCAGCGUCGUAUUAUAGCUUGGUGGAGGUAGAGCUACUGGUUGGUUGAGCGGGACUACAAUCUUAGCAAUGUCAGCCAAACUCCGAAUGCCACUAAUUGUGUUGUACGGCAGUGAGACUGUGGGGGAUAAGCUUCAUAGUCGAGAGGGAAACAGCCCAGAUCGCCGGUUAAGGCCCCUAAGGGUGUACUAAGUGGAAAAGGAUGUGGGAUCGCGAAGACAGCCAGGAGGUUGGCUUAGAAGCAGCCAUCCUUGAAAGAGUGCGUAAUAGCUCACUGGUCAAGUGAUCGUGCGCCGACAAUGUAGCGGGGCUCAAGCACACCGCCGAAGCCGCGGAUCCUCAACAAAUACCCUGUCAGUAUUUACUGGCCAGGGGUUGGGGGUGGUAGGGGAGCGUUGUGUACUGGGUGAAGCGGCCGAGUAAUUGUGUCGUGGACGGUACGCAAGUGAGAAUGCAGGCAUGAGUAGCGAUACUAGGGUGAGAAACCCUAGCGCCGAAUGACCAAGGGUUCCAGGGCUAGGCUAGUCCGCCCUGGGUGAGUCGGGUCCUAAGGCGAGGCCGACAGGCGUAGUCGAUGGAUAACCGGUUGAUAUUCCGGUACCGGCUGGUAACCGUCAAGUGUUGACUGAAAGGUACUAACCCACGCUGAAAACAUGGCUGGACGCCUUUUGGGUGUUUGGUUGUGGUUUUGGUUUGGGGACAGGCUUUCUUGGUAGGCAAGCGUGUGGAGUGACGCACAGUGGAAGCCUUCGCGAGGUGAUGGAAUACCUCGUUUAACCGUGUAGCUUACUGCUCAGGUAAAUCCGGGUGGUUUUAUGUGAGGCGGGAUGAUGACCAUCUUUUGGGUGGGAAGUAGGGGUGAUCCUGUGGUGCCGAGAAAAGCUUCGACGCGAGGUUGUUAGCCGCCCGUACCCUAAACCGACACAGGUGGUCGGGCAGAGUAUGCCUAGGCGCACGAGAUAAUCAUGGUUAAGGAACUCGGCAAAAUGCCCCCGUAACUUCGGGAGAAGGGGGGCCUGAUACUUGAUGAAACCGUUUUUGGCUUUCUAGGGUUGAGGGUCGCAGAGACCAGGGAGAAGCGACUGUUUACUAAAAACACAGGUGCGUGCGAAGCCGUAAGGCGAUGUAUACGCACUGACGCCUGCCCGGUGCUGGAAGGUUAAGAGGAACCGUCAGCUGACUUUUGUUGGUGAAGCGGUGAAUUUAAGCCCCAGUAAACGGCGGUGGUAACUAUAACCAUCCUAAGGUAGCGAAAUUCCUUGUCGGGUAAGUUCCGACCUGCACGAAUGGCGUAACGACUUCUCUGCUGUCUCAACCACAGGCCCGGUGAAAUUGCACUACGAGUAAAGAUGCUCGUUACGCGCGGCAGGACGAAAAGACCCCGGGACCUUCACUAUAGCUUGGUAUUGGUGUUUGGUUCGGUUUGUGUAGGAUAGGUGGGAGACUUGGAAGCUAUCACGCUAGUGGUGGUGGAGUCGUUGUUGAAAUACCACUCUGAUCGGAUUGAGCAUCUAACCUUGGCCCAUGAUCUGGGUUGGGGACAGUGCCUGGUGGGUAGUUUAACUGGGGCGGUUGCCUCCCAAAAUGUAACGGAGGCGCCCAAAGGUUCCCUCAGCCUGGUUGGCAAUCAGGUGGUGAGUGUAAGUGCACAAGGGAGCUUGACUGUGAGACAGACAUGUCGAGCAGGGACGAAAGUCGGGACUAGUGAUCCGGCACCUACUUGUGGAUGUGGUGUCGCUCAACGGAUAAAAGGUACCCCGGGGAUAACAGGCUGAUCUUCCCCAAGAGUCCAUAUCGACGGGAUGGUUUGGCACCUCGAUGUCGGCUCGUCGCAUCCUGGGGCUGGAGUAGGUCCCAAGGGUUGGGCUGUUCGCCCAUUAAAGCGGCACGCGAGCUGGGUUCAGAACGUCGUGAGACAGUUCGGUCCCUAUCCGCUGCGCGCGGAGGAAUCUUGAGAAGGGCUGUCUUUAGUACGAGAGGACCGAGACGGACUGACCUCUGGUGUGCCAGUUGUUCUGCCAAGAGCAUGGCUGGUUGGCUACGUCGGGUUGUGAUAACCGCUGAAAGCAUCUAAGCGGGAAGCACGCUUCAAGAUAAGGGUUCCCACAGGAGUGUUCCUGGUAAGGUCCCCAGAUCGGAAGAGCGUCGUGUAGGGAAAGAGUGUAGAUCUCGGUGG